UGCAGGAACGUUAUGCUCUCUCCUCUACCAGGCUGCCUGCAUGACCUUGAAGUGGCGUCACUGCCCUUGCUUUGCUAAAGUCUCAAGCCUCCACCAAUUCCACCUCACUGAAAGGCCUUUGGAGCUUUCUAGCUCGCAUUCAUCAACACAGAGAUGAGGAAGUGGUGUCCGGACAAGGAAACCUUGAGGACUUUGAUCAGGAGAACGACAAACUCAGUUUGUGGGAAGUGGAGAGUGGAGAGGCCAGAGAACCAGGGAGAUGAAUCAGGAGGCUGGAGCCGUCGUCUGGGAGUGAGUGCUGGCGAGGACGUGGAGAGAAGGGAACCCUAGUGCACUGUUGGUGGGACUGCAG